rnacentral:rRNA from 1 species
GAUGAACGCUGGCGGCGUGCCUAAUACAUGCAAGUCGAGCGAACAGAUGAGGAGCUUGCUCCUCUGACGUUAGCGGCGGACGGGUGAGUAACACGUGGAUAACCUACCUAUAAGACUGGGAUAACUUCGGGAAACCGGAGCUAAUACCGGAUAAUAUAUUGAACCGCAUGGUUCAAUAGUGAAAGACGGUUUUGCUGUCACUUAUAGAUGGAUCCGCGCCGCAUUAGCUAGUUGGUAAGGUAACGGCUUACCAAGGCGACGAUGCGUAGCCGACCUGAGAGGGUGAUCGGCCACACUGGAUCGGAGACACGGUCCAGACUCCUACGGGAGGCAGCAGUAGGGAAUCUUCCGCAAUGGGCGAAAGCCUGACGGAGCAACGCCGCGUGAGUGAUGAAGGUCUUCGGAUCGUAAAACUCUGUUAUUAGGGAAGAACAAAUGUGUAAGUAACUAUGCACGUCUGGACGGUACCUAAGCAGAAAGCCACGGCUAACUACGU